rnacentral:rRNA from 1 species
AGUGAACGCUGGCGGUAGGCCUAACACAUGCAAGUCGAACGGCAGCACAGGAGAGCUUGCUCUCUGGGUGGCGAGUGGCGGACGGGUGAGGAAUACAUCGGAAUCUACUCUGUCGUGGGGGAUAACGUAGGGAAACUUACGCUAAUACCGCAUACGACCUACGGGUGAAAGCAGGGGACCUCCGGGCCUUGCGCGAUUGAAUGAGCCGAUGUCGGAUUAGCUAGUUGGCGGGGUAAAGGCCCACCAAGGCGACGAUCCGUAGCUGGUCUGAGAGGAUGAUCAGCCACACUGGAACUGAGACACGGUCCAGACUCCUACGGGAGGCAGCAGUGGGGAAUAUUGGACAAUGGGCGCAAGCCUGAUCCAGCCAUACCGCGUGGGUGAAGAAGGCCUUCGGGUUGUAAAGCCCUUUUGUUGGGUAAGAAAUCCAUCUGGUUAAUACCCGGGUGGGAUGACGGUACCCAAAGAAUAAGCACCGGCUAACUUCGUGCCAGCCGCCGCAGUAA